rnacentral:lncRNA from 1 species
AAAGUUUUAAGAAAUUCAUAAGCCAUGUUAAUUACUCGAUUUAUAUGAAUUGAUUUUAUUUGGUUGAAACAAGUUGAAAGGUGAUGAAUUUCAGUAUGUUAAACUGUUUUAUUUGUCUCCAUUUACUCGACUUUAGAUGGUUUAGAUGGUAUCUGUUUACUCACUGGGAUUUUAUAAUCUCACCACCCUCAUUUUCAACCAUUUCAGGCCCGAGGUAGCUUGUGGAUCGCAGAUAUCGUCAAGGAUUUUAGUCGGCUUUACUACUCCAAAAACUGUAGGUUUACUGCCUUUGUGCACUUUUGUUCCUUGUGGGCCCACGAGUUACUGUAAAGUAAAUUUCAUAUCCCGGUUAUCUGUAUUAUAGUACGUAUGAAUUUAUUUAACUUUUACAUUACAAAAAUUAUUUCCCGAUGACUCUAUAAAUAUUGUUUUACAAGAAA